rnacentral:lncRNA from 1 species
CUCAUAGUUAUCAGAGUUCCUAAUCUGCAUCAUGAGAGUCCGUUAGGAUUUAUGAAUUAUCAUAUCAUCUGUUGCUUCGAUCCACUCAUACAUACACAACACUGCUACUUCCACGCAUACGUGUGUUGGCCAAGGUCAAUCUAGUAUCAGAGCCAUCUUUCAUGUCGGAGAGAAAGUCUAUCGAUUUUUAGACGUAUAAAGC